rnacentral:rRNA from 1 species
UACGAAGGGUGCAAGCGUUGCUCGGAAUUAUUGGGCGUAAAGGGUUGGUAGGUGGUCUUGUUUGUCUAAGGUGAAAUCCCAUGGCUUAACUGUGGAAGUGCCUUAGAAACGGCAAGACUAGAGUCCUAGAGGGGUUUGUGGAAUUCCCGGUGUAGCGGUGAAAUGCGCAGAUAUCGGGAAGAACACCCGUGGCGAAGGCGGCACUCUGGGACGGUACUGACGCUGAGACGCGAAAGCGUGGGGAGCGAACAGG